AGCCUCCACAAGCAUAUACAUAAGUUGCUGCGUUUAAAAAGCUCGUAGUUGGAUCUGUUAUUUGAGUCCCGCAUUCCCGGUAACCUUAAACGGUGCUGGGGGGACUUAGAUAUCCUGCCGUUUAGUACGCUUGCGCUUAAUUGCGUGAGUGGACGAAUCGGCCUUUUUACUUUGAAUAAAUUAGAGUGUUCAAAGCAGCCUUUGGGCUUGAAUAUCAGAGCAUGGAAUAAUGGAAAAGGACUGUGUCCCUAUCAUGUUGGUCUAAGGAGACGCUGUAAUGAUUAACAGGGACAGGCGGGGGCAUUCGUAUUGCCACGUUAGAGGUGAAAUUCUUGGAUCGUGGCAAGACGGACUACUGCGAAAGCAUUUGCCAAGAAUGUUUUCAUUAAUCAAGAACGAA
rnacentral:rRNA from 1 species